rnacentral:misc_RNA from 1 species
UCCGGUUUGUCACCGGCAGUCUCAUUAGAGUGCCCAACUGAAUGUAGCAACUAAUGACAAGGGUUGCGCUCGUUGCGGGACUUAACCCAACAUCUCACGACACGAGCUGACGACAGCCAUGCAGCACCUGUGUUCCGAUUCCCUUUCGGGCACACCUGGAUCUCUCCAGGCUCUCGGACAUGUCAAGGGUAGGUAAGGUGGGGAUGACGUUACGCAACUAACCA